GAUGAAGAACGCAGUGAAAUGCGAUAAGUAAUGUGAAUUGCAGAAUUCAGUGAAUCAUCGAGUCUUUGAACGCACAUUGCGCCCCCUGGUAUUCCGGGGGGCAUGCCUGUCCGAGCGUCAUUGCUGCCCUCAAGCACGGCUUGUGUGUUGGGCCGCCGUCCCCGGUUUCCCCCGGGGACGGGCCCGAAAGGCAGCGGCGGCACCGCGUCCGAUCCUCGAGCGUAUGGGGCUUUGUCACCCGCUCUGUAGGCCCGGCCGGCGCCAGCCGACACCCAACUUUAUUUCUAAGGUUGACCUCGGAUCAGGUAGGGAUACCCGCUGAACUUAAGCAUAUCAAUAAGCGGAGGA
rnacentral:misc_RNA from 1 species